GAGGGCGUAGCUCAGUGGUAGAGCCCAUGCUUCGCGUGCACGAGGUGCUGGGUUCAAUCCUCGGUACCUCCA
rnacentral:tRNA from 1 species